rnacentral:rRNA from 1 species
AGCGGCGGACGGGUGAGUAACGCGUGGGUAACCUGCCCUAUACACAUGGAUAACAUACUGAAAAGUUUACUAAUACAUGAUAAUAUAUAUUUGCGGCAUCGCAGAUGUAUCAAAGUGUUAGCGGUAUAGGAUGGACCCGCGUCUGAUUAGCUAGUUGGUGAGAUAACUGCCCACCAAGGCGACGAUCAGUAGCCGACCUGAGAGGGUGAUCGGCCACAUUGGAACUGAGACACGGUCCAAACUCCUACGGGAGGCAGCAGUGGGGAAUAUUGCACAAUGGGCGAAAGCCUGAUGCAGCAACGCCGCGUGAACGAUGAAGGUCUUCGGAUCGUAAAGUUCUGUUGCAGGGGAAGAUAAUGACGGUACCCUGUGAGGAAGCCCCGGCUAACUACGUGCCAGCAGCCGCGGUAAUACGUAGGGGGCUAGCGUUAUCCGGAUUUACUGGGCGUAAAGGGUGCGUAGGUGGUCCUUCAAGUCGGUGGUUAAAGGCUACGGCUCAACCGUAGUAAGCCGCCGAAACUGGAGGACUUGAGUGCAGGAGAGGAAAGUGGAAUUCCCAGUGUAGCGGUGAAAUGCGUAGAUAUUGGGAGGAACACCAGUAGCGAAGGCGGCUUUCUGGACUGCAACUGACACUGAGGCACGAAAGCGUGGGUAGCAAACAGG